rnacentral:rRNA from 1 species
AGCGAACGCUGGCGGCAGGCUUAACACAUGCAAGUCGAGCGGACCUUUCGGGGUCAGCGGCGGACGGGUGAGUAACGCGUGGGAACGUGCCUUCCGGUUCGGAAUAACCCUGGGAAACUAGGGCUAAUACCGGAUACGCCCUUAUGGGGAAAGGUUUACUGCCGGAAGAUCGGCCCGCGUCUGAUUAGCUAGUUGGUGGAGUAACGGCCUACCAAGGCGACGAUCAGUAGCUGGUCUGAGAGGAUGAUCAGCCACACUGGGACUGAGACACGGCCCAGACUCCUACGGGAGGCAGCAGUGGGGAAUAUUGGACAAUGGGCGCAAGCCUGAUCCAGCCAUGCCGCGUGAGUGAUGAAGGCCUUAGGGUUGUAAAGCUCUUUUAUCCGGGACGAUAAUGACGGUACCGGAGGAAUAAGCCCCGGCUAACUUCGUG